GCUGGGCAUGGUGGCUCACGCCUGUAGUCCCAGCUACUUGGGAGGCUGAGACAGGAGAAUCGCUUGAACCCAGGAGGCAGGGGUUGCAGUGAGCCAAGGUCGCACCACUGCAUUCCAGCCUGGGUGUCGCAGCGAGAUUCUGUCUCAA
rnacentral:SRP_RNA from 1 species